CAGCAGUAGCCGCGGUAAUACGGAGGAUCCAAGCGUUAUCCGGAAUCAUUGGGUUUAAAGGGUCCGUAGGCGGUCUUGUAAGUCAGUGGUGAAAGCCCAUCGCUCAACGGUGGAACGGCCAUUGAUACUGCAGGACUUGAAUUAUUGGGAAGUAACUAGAAUAUGUAGUGUAGCGGUGAAAUGCUUAGAGAUUACAUGGAAUACCAAUUGCGAAGGCAGGUUACUACAAAUUGAUUGACGCUGAUGGACGAAAGCGUGGGUAGCGAACAGGAUUAGAUACCCGAGUAGUCCCUGUCUCUUAUAA
rnacentral:rRNA from 1 species